GAUCUCAGAUGCCCGAGGGCUUCAGCGAAGUGCUUAAACAAUGCAAAUUCUCCAGUGGACUGUCAUGAGGUUUGGAUUGGAAACACGACUAUUCCAUAGCCAUUCACUGUCUGCUUGCUUCUGGAUAAAAAAGUUUCCUCUUAAAAUGCAUCUCAAUCAGAUAUUGGGGCCUAUGUGAAAAAUAAAAUCAGUGACUUGGACGAAAUGCUGUGUAACAUAUGUGAUGCAUAGUAUUUCUAUAUUUGGUGUAGAUAACUGCAGCUUUCUGAUUUGGUGUUUUUUUUUGUUUAGUUUUUUUUUUUUGCUUGAGUUACUGUAGAAGAGAUCACAAUGUGUAUUUCUCUGCAGGAUAAUUUAAAUGUUUUACUCAAAUUAUGUGAUCUUGAAUU